GACCACGCAACCUUGCCGCUCCUGAUCGGCGUGCAUCUUGUCGUUCUCUCAAUACUCGCGGAGGCCAAUUCGUUGAGGUUGAAAAUUAGGGUUCAGGGAUGGACGCGGCUGCAGAGACGGGGAGCCACCCCUCGUCGGCGGCAGCGUUUGUGGAAGGGGGUGUGCAGGAUGCCUGCGAUGACGCCUGCAGUAUAUGUCUUGAGGAGUUCUGCGAGAGCGAUCCUUCCACGGUGACUACUUGCAAACAUGAGUUUCAUCUCCAGUGUAUUCUUGAAUGGUGCCAGAGAAGCUCGCAAUGCCCCAUGUGUUGGCAACCCAUCAGCUUGAAGGAUUCCACGAGCCAAGAACUACUUGAGGC
rnacentral:misc_RNA from 1 species